UACGUAGGGGGCAAGCGUUAUCCGGAAUUACUGGGUGUAAAGGGUGCGUAGGCGGCGAUUUAAGUCAGAUGUGAAAACUCAGGGCUCAACCUUGAGACUGCAUCUGAAACUGAGUUGCUAGAGUGCAGGAGAGGAAAGCGGAAUUCCGAGUGUAGCGGUGAAAUGCGUAGAGAUUCGGAGGAACACCAGUAGCGAAGGCGGCUUUCUGGACUGUAACUGACGCUGAGGCACGAAAGCGUGGGGAGCGAACAGG
rnacentral:rRNA from 1 species